AGGUACUGAAGUAAACAGGGGUUUCAAUCAGCUCGUGACAGCAGACACACUGUAAAGCCUGGAGCUGGGGUGUGAAGUGGCAAAGUGCUGAGGAUCCAGCACCGGCCCCAUGGAGCAGAGCAGGGGCUCACAUGCUCGGCUCACCGCUGCAGGGGGAUGCCGCGAGCCCAGCCCGAGCCCACCCUCACACAGAGCCGAGGGCUCUUUGGCUCGUUCAGUUUCCAGAGCAACAGGAACAGAGGCGAUUUCCCCUGCUCUCCUCACCGUUUGCAGGGAGCCUCCAAGCAGCCGGACGGUGGGGAGACAGGCAUGGGAGGCAGGGCUGCCUGGACAGAAGGUACUCGUGGCUGGAAGCACCAGAUGCCCAACUGCUGCACCAGAGAGGGAGAGGUACCUGGAAAUCCCUUCCCAUGAGACCAUGCUACCAACCAGACAGUGCUGAGAAGAUGCCAGAAUGUGUGUUCCCUUAGGAAAGGCCCGGGUUACCAUGAACCGCACAGAGGGGCUGGGGAGCGGUCCCCAGCUCAGCGAGAACACAACAUGGUCUCCGUUGGCCCCGGAGCCGUCCCCGUGGGAGUCCCACACCAUCGUUGCGGUGACUAUCUUCUGCUGCGUGUGCUUGCUGCAUUUAUCUGCCUUCCUGUACACCAUCUGCUUCCAGAUCCAGGGCCACUCCAGGCCAGCCCCCCGCCUUGCCAGCCCCGGUGUCUACGAGGAGAACGAGAUUGCCACCUUCCAGCCGUCCCCCUCUGCCACCGAUACGCCAGCCAGGGCCAACCCCUCCCGAGAGCAGCAAGAGGGUGAAGCCAAGACACCGCCGACGCCAGCUCUGCGGCUGAUGAAAACGUCCCUCGGAAGGAGCUCUCUCCCCUCAUUAUUCAGAAGAUUCUUGUGUGUUGAAGUUAACUCAGCUAGGCCGGAAGCCUGCAGAUUACACUCCACGGAGCAGCACUGACAGCCAGCCAGACUGCUGCUGCAGGUUAUGGCCUCAAUCCUGCGAUCGCACCUGCCUGGGCUGGCCCCAACACCCACAUGAAGCCCAAAGAGUCCAGCUGCACGGAUCUGGUUGCAGGACCCAGCCUUUUCUUUGCACUCCCUACUGAAUGGCUUUGACAAACUUGCGUGGCUGAUCAGUGAAAUGGAAAGUAUCACAUACACACACAGCACUCAUGUUUCUAGGGGAAGGUGUGUAUAUUGUUA